rnacentral:rRNA from 1 species
GUGAGGAAUAUUGGUCAAUGGGCGGAAGCCUGAACCAGCCAAGUCGCGUGAGGGAAGACGGCCCUACGGGUUGUAAACCUCUUUUGCCGGGGAGCAACCGCCUCCACGCGUGGAGGUCCGAGAGUACCCGGAGAAAAAGCAUCGGCUAACUCCGUGCCAGCAGCCGCGGUAAUACGGAGGAUGCGAGCGUUAUCCGGAUUUAUUGGGUUUAAAGGGUGCGUAGGCGGACCGUCAAGUCAGCGGUAAAAUAGCGGGGCUCAACCCCGCCGAGCCGUUGAAACUGGGGGUCUAGAGUGGGCGAGAAGCGGGCGGAAUGCGCGGUGUAGCGGUGAAAUGCAUAGAUAUCGCGCAGAACUCCGAUUGCGAAGGCAGCUCGCCGGCGCCCAACUGACGCUGAGGCACGAAAGCGUGGGUAUCGAACAGGA